rnacentral:tRNA from 1 species
UAGGAAGCGGUGUAUUGGAAGCACAAAGAGUUUUGAUCUCUUUAGGGUGGGUUCGAAUCCCACUUUUCUAA